AGGAGUUUAGGUUAACCCAGACCAAGAGCCUUCAAAGCCCUAAGCAAGUAAAAUAUACUUAACUCCUGA
rnacentral:tRNA from 1 species